UGGGGAAUUUUGGACAAUGGGCGCAANCNUGAUCCAGCAAUGCCGCGUGCAGGAAGAAGGCCUUCGGGUUGUAAACUGCUUUUGUCAGGGAAGAAAUCUUCUGGGCUAAUACCCCGGGAGGAUGACGGUACCUGAAGAAUAAGCACCGGCUAACUACGUGCCAGCAGCCGCGGUAAUACGUAGGGUGCGAGCGUUAAUCGGAAUUACUGGGCGUAAAGCGUGCGCAGGCGGCUUUGCAAGACAGAUGUGAAAUCCCCGGGCUCAACCUGGGAACUGCAUUUGUGACUGCAAGGCUAGAGUACGGCAGAGGGGGAUGGAAUUCCGCGUGUAGCAGUGAAAUGCGUAGAUAUGCGGAGGAACACCAAUGGCGAAGGCAAUCCCCUGGGCCUGUACUGACGCUCAUGCACGAAAGCGUGGGGAGCAAACAGGAUUAGAUACCCUGGUAGUCCACGCCCUAAACGAUGUCAACUGGUUGUUGGACGGCUUGCUGUUCAGUAACGAAGCUAACGCGUGAAGUUGACCGCCUGGGGAGUACGGCCGCAAGGUUG
rnacentral:rRNA from 1 species